rnacentral:lncRNA from 1 species
GUUGCGCUUGCAGGUUGCCGUUUAAACUGGAAAUCUAAAUUUUUGGUUUACUCCACUGACUUUGGGAGACUUGAAUCUGUUAAAUAGAGAUCAGAUAACUUAUGGAUAGUUGUACUUAUGCAACCUAGAAGAACAACGCCAGAUACUUGCUACUUUGGGACAAGAUGAUUUUCAAAAUAAAAAUGCUAAGGUUUGGUGCUAUAUUAUCCAAUGUUUUUUUUACUUCCAUUGUAUGAUAAUUGAGAUUACUUAUCGUUAAGAAGUCAGAUAUGAGGGCAGGCAUUUUGACGAAAAUCGUUUUUGUUACUAUUUAGGACAGUGCCUUAAGAAUCUCCUAUUCUACUACAAAAUUGCAAAGUUAUUUACAUUCAUUUAUC